GCACAUAAGAGAAAAGUAUCCAGAAAGAUAAAGACAAUAAUACCUAGAAAACACUUCUAAAAAUUUCUCUAUUUUUACUGGCUACAGAGAAUAAAAAAACAUCUUUUAAGAAAAUUAUCACAUUUUCUGGCAUGAAGAUGAAAUAAUUGCUAGUUGACGAAGACCUUGCCUUAAGAAUUAUUUAAAAUCCUACUGCAUAGAGAAAAAGUCUACAUAUGUUCCUCUCAUCCACAAUGCUAAAAAAGGAUUAUUUUUGACUGUAAUUUCUGUGAAGAUGUUUCUAAUUACCAAAUGUUUAAUGUUUUGAUUAUAUUCUUUUCUAGCAGCACUCAAUGCAGAUGCAAAGGGAGAAUAGGUGAUCUUCUCUGCAGAGCUCAAAUGAGAUUUGACAGACCUAGUAAGGGCAUGGCUGCUAUAGAUUGAAGCCAUGUGACUGGGACAGACUGCUUCCUGGCAUGGAAAACAGAUCUGAAGACACUGGAGCUAUGCCACCUUACUGCAACUACAACUUGUAAUUUCAGAUGGCAAUAGGACUCUUCUCCUUUGCCUUACAGCACAUGCAUCACCAGUGCAAUACCACAUUAAUGCUGGAGUUACAACUAAAGUGGAGGCUAGAUCUGGAAAAUGAGGGACAAGAAAAGCUAUAUCACCCCCUGCUGCUGUAAAUCUGCUACCAUGAUCAGCUGAAACUCUGGGGUGUAAUGGCAGUGGCAACAUCAAAGACUUUCGAUUGGGUGCAAGAAGAGCUCUAGAUUCCUGCUUCAGUCAACUAUUUUCUGAGGAAGUUCUUCUUAUGCCAGAAAUCACAGAUGAAGGGAUGCAUCUGCUCUUCUGGUGCUUCAGUAGAAACAAAUGGUUUUCUAAGCUGUCCUGAUGGUCACACUUGUGUCUUGCCAGAUACUUAAUCUCACCUCUAGGACAGCCCAGGAGGCUCAGAUUUCCAAAACUCAGCAAUUUACUACAAGUUACCCUUACUCAGCAUGCCAAGUGGUCAUCUGACUAAUGUUAUUUUACUUCUUUAACUUGCUAGACUAGUAGAAAUCACAGUCUGAAUUUACAGUAGAAAUAUGCUUCUUCCGACACUUUCAACUUUUCUUCUUUUAAAAGAGCUGCAGCACAUAUAGCACAGAGGAGGACUGAGAUAGAUUUUCUAGCCUAGUGUCCCAUUUGCAAGAAUCAGAGAAUCUAUCAUAGAAUUACCAAGGAUGGAAAAGACCUCUAAGAUCAUCCAGUCCAGCAGUCCACCUAUCACCAAUAUUCCCAGUAAACCCUGUCCCUCAGUGCAACAUCUAAAUGUUUUGUGAACAGGUCUUUUUCAAGGGAAAGGAAUUCUGAGAAAAUCCAUCACCAGUUAAGAAUUCCUGUUAGGUACUAGUAGGAAACAGUUUUUAUGCCUUAGGUCAUGAAAGGAUAGGGAUUUGUGCUUCCUUUAGACUUACU